CAGCACCUCAAGUGGUCAGGAUGAUUAUUGGGCCUAAAGCAUCCGUAGCCGGCUCUGUAAGUUUUCGGUUAAAUCUGUAUGCUCAACAUACAGGCUGCCGGGAAUACUGCAGAGCUAGGGAGUGGGAGAGGUAGACGGUACUCGGUAGGAAGGGGUAAAAUCCUUUGAUCUAUUGAUGACCACCUGUGGCGAAGGCGGUCUACCAGAACACGUCCGACGGUGAGGGAUGAAAGCUGGGGGAGCAAACCGGAUUAGAGACCCCGGUAGUCC
rnacentral:rRNA from 1 species